rnacentral:rRNA from 1 species
GAUGAACGCUGGCGGCGUGCCUAAUACAUGCAAGUCGAGCGAACAGACGAGGAGCUUGCUCCUCUGACGUUAGCGGCGGACGGGUGAGUAACACGUGGAUAACCUACCUAUAAGACUGGGAUAACUUCGGGAAACCGGAGCUAAUACCGGAUAAUAUAUUGAACCGCAUGGUUCAAUAGUGAAAGACGGUUUUGCUGUCACUUAUAGAUGGAUCCGCGCCGCAUUAGCUAGUUGGUAAGGUAACGGCUUACCAAGGCGACGAUGCGUAGCCGACCUGAGAGGGGGAUCCGCCACAAUGGAACUGAGGCACGGUCCAGACCCCUACGGGGGGCAGCAGUAGGGAAUCUUCCGCAAUGGGCGAAAGCCUGACGGAGCAACGCCGCGUGAGUGAUGAAGGUCUUCGGAUCGUAAAACUCUGUUAUUAGGGAAGAACAAAUGUGUAAGUAACUAUGCACGUCUUGACGGUACCUAAUCAGAAAGCCACGGCUAACUACGUG